UACGUAGGUGGCGAGCGUUGUCCGGAAUUACUGGGUGUAAAGGGAGCGUAGGCGGGAAGUUAAGUUGGAUGUGAAAUACCCAGGCUCAACCUGGGGGCUGCAUCCAAAACUGGCUUUCUUGAGUGAAGUAGAGGCAGGCGGAAUUCCUAGUGUAGCGGUGAAAUGCGUAGAUAUUAGGAGGAACACCAGUGGCGAAGGCGGCACUCUGGGCCGAUACUGACACUGAGGAGCGAAAGCGUGGGGAGCGAACAGG
rnacentral:rRNA from 1 species